AUAGAAGUCACCUAUUUAUCUAUUCAAAUAUGUAUACGAAAACAGACGUAAGAAAAUAAUUGAAAAGCUACUGAUUUCUUAAAACCUUGCGUGAACAAAAUAAAGAGAAGACGAAAAAAUACCGAUUCUUAUUGCUGCUUCGGUUCUGGUGUGUGUGUGUUUUAGGGUUAAAAAUUGAUCUCAUAUUUAUACUAGUCUUUAAAGAGUUCUAGUUCUAAUAGGAAAC
rnacentral:lncRNA from 1 species